AAACGACACUAUUUUUCAAACCCCAAAAAAACUUUUAACAAACAUUUCAUUUCAUUUUCUUCAAAAACAGAGAAGGGAGGGGAGAACUCUCUGCUAGGGUUCUUUUCUUAACACAAACCCCAGCCACACCACUGCCAUGACGCCGCCCAAAGCACCACCCUUGACGGCAGUUUGAAGGGACCGAACCAAAGGUGAAGGCGGCUCGUGCAAGGCGCUUGGUUGCGGUGUUGAAGACUCCCUUAGAAACCCUAAGGUUUCUUCAUUUGUUUUGGGCCACUUGUAUUUUGGGCUUUGUAUUCUGGGCCAGCUCGUUAAAAUACUGGACUUUUUUAUUUUAUUUUUAUUUAUAAAAGAGCCGGGUAAAAUUUAGGUA